GGGAGUAUAGCUUAGUGGUAGAGCAUGUGCUUAGCAUGCAUGAGGUCUUGGGUUCAAUCCCCAGUCCCUCCA
rnacentral:tRNA from 1 species